rnacentral:rRNA from 1 species
UACGAAGGGUGCAAGCGUUAAUCGGAAUUACUGGGCGUAAAGGGUGCGUAGGUGGUGAGGAAAGUCGGAUGUGAAAUCUCCGGGCUUAACCCGGAAACUGCAUUGGAAACUACCUUGCUAGAGGUUUUGAGGGGGGACUGGAAUUCUCGGUGUAGCAGUGAAAUGCGUAGAUAUCGAGAGGAACACCAGUGGCGAAGGCGAGUCCCUGGAAAACACCUGACACUGAGGCACGAAAGCUAGGGGAGCAAACAGG